CCUACGGGUGGCAGCAGUGGGGAAUAUUGCACAAUGGGGGAAACCCUGAUGCAGCGACGCCGCGUGAGUGAGGAAGUGUCUCGGCACGUAAAGCUCUAUCAGCAGGGAAGAAAAUGAUGGUACCUGACGAAGAAGCCCCGGCUAACUACGUGCCAGCAGCCGCGGUAAUACGUAGGGGGCAAGCGUUAUCCGGAUUUACUGGGUGUAAAGGGGGCGUAGACGGCUAAACAAGCCAGAAGUGAAAGCCCAGGGCUCAACUCCGGGACUGCUUUUGAAACUGAGUAGCUAGAGUGCAGGAGAGGUAAGCGGAAUUCCUGGUGUAGCGGUGAAAUGCGUAGAUAUUAGGAGGAACACCAGUGGCGAAGGCGGCUUGCUGGACUGUAACUGACGUUGAGGCUCGAAAGCGUGGGGAGCAAACAGGAUUAGAUACCCUUGUAGUC
rnacentral:rRNA from 1 species